CGAGAAGCUUGCUUCUCUGAUGUUAGCGGCGGACGGGUGAGUAACACGUGGAUAACCUACCUAUAAGACUGGGAUAACUUCGGGAAACCGGAGCUAAUACCGGAUAAUAUUUUGAACCGCAUGGUUCAAAAGUGAAAGACGGUCUUGCUGUCACUUAUAGAUGGAUCCGCGCUGCAUUAGCUAGUUGGUAAGGUAACGGCUUACCAAGGCAACGAUGCAUAGCCGACCUGAGAGGGUGAUCGGCCACACUGGAACUGAGACACGGUCCAGACUCCUACGGGAGGCAGCAGUAGGGAAUCUUCCGCAAUGGGCGAAAGCCUGACGGAGCAACGCCGCGUGAGUGAUGAAGGUCUUCGGAUCGUAAAACUCUGUUAUUAGGGAAGAACAUAUGUGUAAGUAACUGUGCACAUCUUGACGUACCUAAUCAGAAGCC
rnacentral:rRNA from 1 species